rnacentral:lncRNA from 1 species
AUGGAAAAUGCAUCAUCUGCUUUCUUUUCCGGCCGCGACUGCCGGGCCGGAGCGGCAACCCGCGAGCCUCGGGCCAAACCGGAGCCACAGCGCGCCCGUGCCCCCGCGGGGACCCGGCGGGCAUCCCGGCGCCCCGGGGAUCGGCCGGCCGCUCCUGCCGGGGGCGGCCGCUGCCGCGGGAGACGGAGAGGGCCAGGGCAGGGGCGCUUCCCGGCCUCGCCGCCCACCGGAUCACCUGAACGGCACUGGAUUCACGCAGCAGCGGGCGCUGGCACAGCCCCCAUCCCGGGAGCCAAAGCGGGUUCCCCCUCCCCAGCGCGAGGAGGAGGAGGAGGAGGAGGAGGAGGAAGGCUGUGCUGGGCCACCCCGGCACGGAGCAGCAGGGUGCCCAGCCAAGGCCGCUCACUCGGCCGCAUGGUCCCGGCGCUGCUAGGAAAGGGAGGCACCGGGUGGGAGCCGGAGUCGGAGCCGCCUGGCCACCCCAGGCUUCCCGGCUCCGGCAGGGCUCCGACCCGGGGAGGAGACGCCGCAGGCACCAGCCAUGCCAUUAUACGCUUUAUUGAUGCCGUUCUGAAGAAAGCUAAUCAAUAUAUUAGAUUUCCCAAAGAAAGAAAACACCAGCUGCCAGCAGCACAGCACUCCUCGGUGGCGGCGGCGCGUUUUUCCAUGGGCCCCCGGAGCCGCUGCACGUGUCCGCGUGGCAGGACGAGGCUCCGCGGCGCAGCCAGACCCACGCCUGCCCCAGCGGCACGGGCUCCCGAAAGGCCGCCGCCACACGCAGGGCCGAGCCGCUUCAGAAAUCGGUCCCGAGUCAUCCCAACGGCACGGGCGAGCCCCAAGCGUUCCCGCUCGGCGGCGGUGUGCCGGGACGGGCUCCGGCUCACGGAUGCCCUGCCGUGCAGCAGACCUCAACCAACGGCUCUGAAACGCGGGAGAAGCUGGAAAUCAUCAAACUGCCGCAGGAAUCCGGCGGCGGCGGAUUCCCAGGAGCCAGCCCCACGGCAAAGCCCGCCGGAGCUCGGGGCAAGGCGCGCGCCCGGCACCCUUCACGGCCGAGGGCUUCCAAGAUCGAGCCUCCGCAAAGGGAUAUUCAUUCUGUAA